CCAUAAGACAACACGCCUUAAUGUGAUUAAACGCGUAACUAAAAUCAAUCACCAUUCCUAGACCGAGGUUCAACACAAGGCUCGUGUUGAAUCUAAACAAAGGUUCAUAAUCAUCCUUAGGCCCUAAGGCAACUAUAUAGUCCAUCAAAUGAAUGCAAAGUUUAUGUUAGUAGUAUCAUAUACUCUUGCUUUAAAAAUCGUUUUAAAAGCAUAGUGGGAGUAUUAUGUACAACUAAAACAAAGAGAUGGACCAAUAGUUGUAAUAGGACCAAAAUUGUUUUAAUAGAGAUUAAAAUGUAUGUUUAUAUGUGAUGAGACCUAAAACCCUCAACCAAACCAAUAUUAAGUUG
rnacentral:lncRNA from 1 species